rnacentral:lncRNA from 1 species
AUGGAGUUUGGCUUGGACAAAUGUUCGACAGUGGCAUUGAAGAAGGGAAAAAUCAUUGAAAGUGAGGGCAUAAAUAUGCCCAAUGGCCAAACAAUAAAGUGUCACCAGCCAGAGGCCUAUAAAUAUCUGGGCAUAUUACAGCUGGACAACAUCAAGCAUGAACAUGUGAAGACUGUGGUCAGUAAAGAAUACACACAAAGGGUCAGAAAAAUUCUCAAAAGCAAGCUCAGUGGAGGCAACACCAUCAAAGCCAUAAACACCUGGGCCAUACCUGUCAUAAGAUAUACUGCUGGCAUCAUAAACUGGACACAGGUGGAACUGGACAAUUUGGACAGAAAAACAAUAAAACUCAUGACUAUUCAUCAUUCACUGCACCCUCGCAGUGAUGUUGACCGGCUGUAAUAUGCCCAGAUAUUUAUAGGCCUCUGGCUGGUGACACUUUAUUGUUUGGCCAUUAGGCAUAUUUAUGCCCUCACUUUCAAUGAUUUUUCCCUUCUUCAAUGCCACUGUCGAACAUUUGUCCAAGCCAAACUCCAUGCUGAUAUCAGUGCUAAAGAUUCAGACAGUGUUAGUCAGAGACUGGAUUUCAGUUUCCGUUUUUCCAUACAGCUUCAGGUCAUCCAUGUACAUCAGGUGCGAAAUUUUGUGAGAAUUCUUAGAUGUUUGAUAGCCGAGAUUUGUUUUUUGUAAGAUUGUUGACAGAGGGAUCAUGGCAAUAAUGAAAAGCAGAGGGGACAAUGAGUCUCCCUGGAAAAUUCCUCUCCUGAUGUUGACAAGUCCAUAGCUUUCAUUUCCAACAAACAGUUCAGUUUUCCAGUGCUCCAUCAUGUUUUCAAUGAAGGUGCCAACGUUUUUACUAAUCCCGAUGGCGUCCAGGCACUUGAUGAUCCAGCUGUGUGGGAGUGAGUCAAAGGCCUUUUUGUAGUCAAUCCACGUCAUGUGAAGAUUAGCUUUUCGGCUUUUACAGUUCUCCAGAAUCAUUUUGUCAAUCAAUAACUGGUCUUUUGUGCCCCUGCUUUUCCAUUUGUUGCCUUUCUGUUCAUCUGGCAAGAUGUUUUUUUCUUCAAGAUAGUCUUGAAUUCUGUCAGCUAUGAUGCCAGUCAGUAGUUUAAACAUAGUGGGCAGACAUGUUAUUGGCCUGUAGUUUCCUGGUGCUGCUCCUUUUGCUGGAUCCUUUUGUAUCAGGUAUGUUCUUCCAGUUGUUAGCCAUUCACUGAUACUUUCUGCAGCAUCUCAUUGAAUUGUUGGGCCAUUUUUCCAUGUAAACUAAUCAGAUGUUUGAGCCAAAAUCCAUGAAGUUGAUCACUACCAGGCGAUGUCCAGUUCUUGACUUUUUGCACUCGUUUGGUGAUCAUUUCAGUUGUUAUUUCCAUCUGUUCCAUUUUGUUCUGUGAGAAUUUUCCUUCAAACUCCUUUAUCCACCCAGCGUUUUUGUUGUAGUUCUUAUUAUUUUUCCAAAGCUCUUUCCAGAACUUUGUUGUUGCAGUUUUCUCUGGCUUUAUGGUUACUGUGUCUGUUGUUUGGUUCAGGCUCUGGUAGAACCGUCUUUGGUCUGAUUGAAACAGAUGAUUUUGUCUGUACUGGAUGAUUCUGGCUUCAUAUCUUUCAAUUUUUCUGGCUGUUGCUGUAAUUUGUUCUUUCACAAUUUCCAAAGGUUCUUCAAUUUUUCUGGUGUUCAGCCAGUACUUUCUGAUCAGGUAUUGCUUGAUUUUGUCAUUCUUCAAUUUCUUCUCUUUCAUAUUUUUCAGGUUACUUGCAUCUGAUCUAAGUUUCUUGAUUUUCAACUCUAGCCUGACCUUCCACUUUGGUUUUCCAGUCGAUUUUCUUUGGGGCUGCCUUGGUUGUAGGAGCCCAAGCUCUUCUGUUACUAUCACUGCUGUACUGUAGGCAUACUGGUUUGUUUGUUCAAUUGAUGUUAUCUGGACAGUGGAGAGUGCUGCAUUCACAUCUUUCAUGAGAGGCGUCAGGUGUCUCUUGGGCACUGUUUUUAGAGUUGGGAGCCGCUGUCUUAUUGCAUUUGCUGCAGCAUGAGCCAUGAUCUUAUCCUUGAGCUCUUGUUGUCUUGCUGUCAAGAUUCCUGGUGGUUCAACAGGUGUUUCAAGUGCUGGUUCAUGAAAUUCUUGCAAAAGCUCGACGUGGUGGGAGGGGCUUAGCCAUUCCGAGGAUGCUGAGGGCUGUGCUGGUGGUAGUGUAACUACCGGCAGGUCCAACCAAGCCAGAGAGGCCUCAGCGGAGGAAUGCAACCAAGUGCACCUAAACCAUUAGCAUUAUGGAGAAUCAAACCAAAACGAAGUCUAUACUGGCUCGGUCGUCGCCCAGGAUAAAAAGGACCACGGUGGAUGCUGCUGAUUCUGGACAUCCAUCGACAAGUGGGCUACGGAAUCAUCAAAACCCAAAUGAACAGUCACAGAAGCGGCAGAAAUAUACAAUGCCAGAAAACCGCACAAUUAUUAUUAUUAUUAUUAUUAUUAUUAUUAUUAUUAUUAAUACAAAAUGUCAAUUGAAAGCCCUUAUAGCCCUUUCAAAGAG